AUUGAACGCUGGCGGCAGGCUUAACACAUGCAAGUCGAGCGGAGAUGAGGUGCUUGCACCUUAUCUUAGCGGCGGACGGGUGAGUAAUGCUUAGGAAUCUGCCUAUUAGUGGGGGACAACAUUCCGAAAGGAAUGCUAAUACCGCAUCCGUCCUACGGGAGAAAGCAGGGGAUCUUCGGACCUUGCGCUAAUAGAUGAGCCUCAGUCGGAUUAGCUAGUUGGUGGGGUAAAGGCCUACCAAGGCGACGAUCUGUAGCGGGUCUGAGAGGAUGAUCCGCCACACUGGGACUGAGACACGGCCCAGACUCCUACGGGAGGCAGCAGUGGGGAAUAUUGGACAAUGGGGGGAACCCUGAUCCAGCCAUGCCGCGUGUGUGAAGAAGGCCUUAUGGUUGUAAAGCACUUUAAGCGAGGAGGAGGCUACUGAGACUAAUACUCUUGGAUAGUGGACGUUACUCGCAGAAUAAGCACCGGCUAACUCUGUGCCAGCCGCCGCCGUAAAAC
rnacentral:rRNA from 1 species